rnacentral:rRNA from 1 species
AGGAACGCUGGCGGCAGGCCUAACACAUGCAGUCGAGCGGCAGCGCGGGGCAACCUGGCGGCGAGCGGCGGACGGGUGAGGAAUACAUCGGAAUCUGCCUUGUUGUGGGGGAUAACGUAGGGAAACUUACGCUAAUACCGCAUGAGACCGUAAGGUGAAAGUGGGGGAUCGCAAGACCUCACGCGACAAGAUGAGCCGAUGUCGGAUUAGCUAGUUGGUGAGGUAAAGGCUCACCAAGGCAACGAUCCGUAGCUGGUCUGAGAGGAUGAUCAGCCACACUGGGACUGAGACACGGCCCAGACUCCUACGGGAGGCAGCAGUGGGGAAUAUUGGACAAUGGGCGCAAGCCUGAUCCAGCCAUGCCGCGUGUGUGAAGAAGGCCUUCGGGUUGUAAAGCACUUUUGUUGGGAAAGAAAUCCUGUCGAUUAAUACUCGGCGGGGAUGACGGUACCCAAAGAAUAAGCACCGGCUAACUUCGUG